rnacentral:lncRNA from 1 species
AUUUAGAAAAUUUUCGAAAAAAAUUGCUGCAACCCCUUCGUAUUGAGGCUUGAACUUGCUACAGUCACAACUCUUGAACAUUCUUCAACAAAAGUUGCUUUUCCUAGUUUCAGCACUUGGAUCCGUUUUCCUUGAGAUUUACCACGUUUAUUUGAAUCUACAAGGCAUCAAAGGUAGUUAUUUCGUUUCUUUCUUCUUCAUACGGGCCUAGGUCAUCACCAGAUGUAGCAAGAUUUUGCUGCACACGUUUUUCUUUC